rnacentral:rRNA from 1 species
AAAUUGAAGAGUUUGAUCAUGGCUCAGAUUGAACGCUGGCGGCAGGCCUAACACAUGCAAGUCGAACGGUAACAGGAAACAGCUUGCUGUUUCGCUGACGAGUGGCGGACGGGUGAGUAAUGUCUGGGAAACUGCCUGAUGGAGGGGGAUAACUACUGGAAACGGUAGCUAAUACCGCAUAAUGUCGCAAGACUAAAGAGGGGGACCUUCGGGCCUCUUGCCAUCGGAUGUGCCCAGAUGGGAUUAGCUAGUAGGUGGGGUAACGGCUCACCUAGGCGACGAUCCCUAGCUGGUCUGAGAGGAUGACCAGCCACACUGGAACUGAGACACGGUCCAGACUCCUACGGGAGGCAGCAGUGGGGAAUAUUGCACAAUGGGCGCAAGCCUGAUGCAGCCAUGCCGCGUGUAUGAAGAAGGCCUUCGGGUUGUAAAGUACUUUCAGCGGGG